GAUGAACGCUAGCGGCAGGCCUAAUACAUGCAAGUCGGACGGGAUUUGGGAGCUUGCUCCUAAUGAGAGUGGCGCACGGGUGCGUAACACGUAUGUAACCUACCUUAAUCAGGGGGAUAGCCUCUCGAAAGAGAGAUUAACACCGCAUAACAUAUUUUUAUGGCAUCGUAGAAAUAUCAAAUAUUUAUAGGAUUAAGAUGGGCAUGCGGAACAUUAGCUAGUUGGUAAGGUAACGGCUUACCAAGGCUACGAUGUUUAGGGGAUCUGAGAGGAUGACCCCCCACACUGGUACUGAGACACGGACCAGACUCCUACGAGAGGCAGCAGUAAGGAAUAUUGGUCAAUGGGCGCAAGCCUGAACCAGCCAUGCCGCGUGCAGGAAGACGGCCCUAUGGGUUGUAAACUGCUUUUGUACCGGAAUAAACCCUUUUACGUGUAGAAGGCUGAAUGUACGGUAAGAAUAAGGAUCGGCUAACUCCGUGCCAGCAGCCGCAGUAA
rnacentral:rRNA from 1 species